CCAGGAAAAGCCUCUAAGCUUCAGAUUGUAAGGAAUCGUACCCCAAACCGACACAGGUGGUCGGGUAGAGAAUACCAAGGCGCUUGAGAGAACUCGGGUGAAGGAACUAGGCAAAAUGGUACCGUAACUUCGGGAGAAGGUACGCUCUUGAUGGUGAAGUCCCUUGCGGAUGGAGCUGACGAGAGUCGCAGAUACCAGGUGGCUGCAACUGUUUAUUAAAAACACAGCACUGUGCAAAAUCGUAAGAUGACGUAUACGGUGUGACGCCUGCCCGGUGCCGGAAGGUUAAUUGAUGGGGUUAGCGUAAGCGAAGCUCUUGAUCGAAGCCCCGGUAAACGGCGGCCGUAACUAUAACGGUCCUAAGGUAGCGAAAUUCCUUGUCGGGUAAGUUCCGACCUGCACGAAUGGCGUAAUGAUGGCCACGCUGUCUCCACCCGAGACUCAGUGAAAUUGAAAUCGCUGUGAAGAUGCAGUGUACCCGCGGCUAGACGGAAAGACCCCGUGAACCUUUACUACAGCUUGGCACUGAACAUUGAACCUACAUGUGUAGGAUAGGUGGGAGGCUUUGAAGACGUGACGCCAGUUGCGUUGGAGCCGUCCUUGAAAUACCACCCUUGUAUGUUUGAUGUUCUAACGUUGGCCCCUAAUCGGGGUUGCGGACAGUGCCUGGUGGGUAGUUUGACUGGGGCGGUCUCCUCCCAAAGAGUAACGGAGGAGCACGAAGGUGGGCUAAUCACGGUUGGACAUCGUGAGGUUAGUGCAAUGGCAUAAGCCCGCUUAACUGCGAGAAUGACGGUUCGAGCAGGUGCGAAAGCAGGUCAUAGUGAUCCGGUGGUUCUGAAUGGAAGGGCCAUCGCUCAACGGAUAAAAGGUACUCCGGGGAUAACAGGCUGAUACCGCCCAAGAGUUCAUAUCGACGGCGGUGUUUGGCACCUCGAUGUCGGCUCAUCACAUCCUGGGGCUGAAGUCGGUCCCAAGGGUAUGGCUGUUCGCCAUUUAAAGUGGUACGCGAGCUGGGUUUAGAACGUCGUGAGACAGUUCGGUCCCUAUCUGCCGUGGGCGUUGGAAGAUUGAAGGGGGCUGCUCCUAGUACGAGAGGACCGGAGUGGACGAACCUCUGGUGUUCGGGUUGUGUCGCCAGACGCAUUGCCCGGUAGCUAAGUUCGGAAUCGAUAACCGCUGAAAGCAUCUAAGCGGGAAGCGAGCCCUGAGAUGAGUCUUCCCUGAUACUUUAAGUAUCCUGAAGGGUUGUUCGAGACUAGAACGUUGAUAGGCAGGGUGUGUAAGCGCUGUGAGGCGUUGAGCUAACCUGUACUAAUUGCCCGUGAGGCUUAACCAUACAACACCCAAAGGGUUUUG
rnacentral:rRNA from 1 species